rnacentral:rRNA from 1 species
AUUGAACGCUGGCGGCCCGCCUAACACAUGCAAGUCGAGCGGAGCGGCGGACGGGUGAGUAAUGCCUAGGAAUCUGCCUGGUAGUGGGGGAUAACGUCCGGAAACGGGCGCUAAUACCGCAUACUAUCAGAUGAGCCUAGGUCGGAUUAUCUAGUUGGUUGGGGAAAGGCCUACCAAGGCGACGAUCCGUAACUGGUCUGAGAGGAUGCUCCGUCAAACUGGAACGGAGAGACGGUCCAGACACCUACGGUAGGCGGCAGUGGGGAAUAUUGCACAAUGUGCGGAAGCCUGAUGCAGCCAAUCAGGGUGUAUGAAGAAGGCCUCGGGGUUGUAAAGUACUUUCAGCGGGGAGGCGUUACCCGCAGAAGAAGCACCGGCUAACUCCGUGCCAGCAGCCGCGGUAAUUC